AGUGAACGCUGGCGGUAGGCCUAACACAUGCAAGUCGAACGGCAGCACAGUAAGAGCUUGCUCUUACGGGUGGCGAGUGGCGGACGGGUGAGGAAUACAUCGGAAUCUACUUUUUCGUGGGGGAUAACGUAGGGAAACUUACGCUAAUACCGCAUACGACCUACGGGUGAAAGCAGGGGAUCUUCGGACCUUGCGCGAUUGAAUGAGCCGAUGUCGGAUUAGCUAGUUGGCGGGGUAAAGGCCCACCAAGGCGACGAUCCGUAGCUGGUCUGAGAGGAUGAUCAGCCACACUGGAACUGAGACACGGUCCAGGCUACUACGGGAGGCAGCAGUGGGGAAUAUUGGACAAUGGGCGCGAGCCUGAUCCAGCCAUACCGCGUGGGUGAAGAAGGCCUUCGGGUUGUAAAGACCUUUUGUUGGGAAAGAAAAGCAGCAGGUUAAUACCCCGCUGUUCUGACGGUACCCAAAGAAUAAGCACCGGCUAACUUCGUG
rnacentral:rRNA from 1 species